rfam:Brachypodium distachyon strain Bd21 chromosome 1, whole genome shotgun sequence.
UUAAUACUUCCUCCGUCCAACAAAGGAUGUCUCAACUUUGAUUAAAUUUCAAUGCAUCUAUACAGUAAGUCAUGUCUAAAUACAUUCAAAUUUCGACAAACUUGAGACAUCUUUUGUUGGACGGAGGGAGUACAAG